CAGCCGCCGCGGUAAUACGUAGGUCCCGAGCGCUGUCCGGAUUUAUUGGGCGUAAAGCGAGCGCAGGCGGUUAGAUAAGUCUGAAGUUAAAGGCUGUGGCUUAACCAUAGCACGCUUUGGAAACUGUUUAACUUGAGUGCAAGAGGGGAGAGUGGAAUUCCAUGUGUAGCGGUGAAAUGCGUAGAUAUAUGGAGGAACACCGGUGGCGAAAGCGGCUCUCUGGCUUGUAACUGACGCUGAGGCUCGAAAGCGUGGGGAGCAAACAGGAUUAGAUACCCGCGUAGUCCCUGUCUCUUAUACA
rnacentral:rRNA from 1 species